CAACUUAUACUGGCAGGGAAAAUACCAUGAUCGUGAAAGUGGUUUUCCUAGGGUGAGGCUCAUCCAUAGCACUUCGGGUGUACUGAUACCUGUGAUUUCCUCAAAUGUGUGAAAAUCAGCUGCAUCAUUUGUGGUAGUGGGGGACUGCGUUUGUGGUUUCUCCUG
ensembl:snRNA U1 U1 spliceosomal RNA